UACGGGGGGGACUAGCGUUGUUCGGAAUUACUGGGCGUAAAGGGCUCGUAGGCGGCCAACUAAGUCAGACGUGAAAUCCCUCAGCUUAACUGGGGAACUGCGUCUGAUACUGGAUGGCUUGGAUUCGGGAGAGGAAUGCGGAAUUCCAGGUGUAGCGGUGAAAUGCGUAGAUAUCUGGAGGAACACCGGUGGCGAAGGCGGCAUUCUGGACCGAUAUUGACGCUGAGGAGCGAAAGCCAGGGGAGCAAACGGG
rnacentral:rRNA from 1 species